UGGGGAAUUUUGGACAAUGGGCGAAAGCCUGAUCCAGCAAUGCCGCGUGUGUGAAGAAGGCCUUCGGGUUGUAAAGCACUUUUGUCCGGAAAGAAAUGGCUCUGGUUAAUACCUGGGGUCGAUGACGGUACCAGAAGAAUAAGGACCGGCUAACUACGUGCCAGCAGCCGCGGUAAUACGUAGGGUCCAAGCGUUAAUCGGAAUUACUGGGCGUAAAGCGUGCGCAGGCGGUUGUGCAAGACCGAUGUGAAAUCCCCGAGCUUAACUUGGGAAUUGCAUUGGUGACUGCACGGCUAGAGUGUGUCAGAGGGGGGUUAGAAUUCCACGUGUAGCAGUGAAAUGCGUAGAGAUGUGGAGGAAUACCGAUGGCGAAGGCAGCCCCCUGGGAUAACACUGACGCUCAUGCACGAAAGCGUGGGGAGCAAACAGGAUUAGAUACCCUGGUAGUCCACGCCCUAAACGAUGUCAACUAGUUGUUGGGGAUUCAUUUCCUUAGUAACGUAGCUAACGCGUGAAGUUGACCGCCUGGGGAGUACGGUCGCAAGAUUAAAAGCUC
rnacentral:rRNA from 1 species